CCUACGGGCGGCAGCAGUGGGGAAUAUUGCACAAUGGGGGAAACCCUGAUGCAGCGACGCCGCGUGAGUGAAGAAGUAUUUCGGUAUGUAAAGCUCUAUCAGCAGGGAAGAAAAUGACGGUACCUGACUAAGAAGCCCCGGCUAACUACGUGCCAGCAGCCGCGGUAAUACGUAGGGGGCAAGCGUUAUCCGGAUUUACUGGGUGUAAAGGGAGCGUAGACGGCCAGACAAGUCAGAAGUGAAAGCCCAGGGCUCAACUCUGGGACUGCUUUUGAAACUGCCGGGCUGGAGUGAAGGAGAGGUAAGCGGAAUGCCUAGUGUAGCGGUGAAAUGCGUAGAUAUUAGGAGGAACACCAGUGGCGAAGGCGGCUUACUGGACUGUAACUGACGUUGAGGCUCGAAAGCGUGGGGAGCAAACAGGAUUAGAUACCCUAGUAGUC
rnacentral:rRNA from 1 species